CAUUACCGAGUUUACAACUCCCAAACCCAAUGUGAACGUUACCAAACUGUUGCCUCGGCGGGGUCACGCCCCGGGUGCGUAAAAGCCCCGGAACCAGGCGCCCGCCGGAGGAACCAACCAAACUCUUUCUGUAGUCCCCUCGCGGACGUAUUUCUUACAGCUCUGAGCAAAAAUUCAAAAUGAAUCAAAACUUUCAACAACGGAUCUCUUGGUUCUGGCAUCGAUGAAGAACGCAGCGAAAUGCGAUAAGUAAUGUGAAUUGCAGAAUUCAGUGAAUCAUCGAAUCUUUGAACGCACAUUGCGCCCGCCAGUAUUCUGGCGGGCAUGCCUGUCCGAGCGUCAUUUCAACCCUCGAACCCCUCCGGGGGAUCGGCGUUGGGGAUCGGGACCCCUCACCGGGUGCCGGCCCUGAAAUACAGUGGCGGUCUCGCCGCAGCCUCUCCUGCGCAGUAGUUUGCACAACUCGCACCGGGAGCGCGGCGCGUCCACGUCCGUAAAACACCCAA
rnacentral:misc_RNA from 1 species